GAAGCCCGCCGGACCGCCGCUGGUGCAAGCUGGGAAACCAGGCACUGGAGGAACGUCCGGACUGCACAGGGCGGCGUAGCAGCUAACGGCUGUCCACCGUGAGGUGAGGAUCAGAGCAACAGAGACGAGUCCGAGUGGGCAUCAAGCCCGCUCGGGGUGAAACGGGCAAUCUCUACGCGCAGCAACACCAAGUAGGCCAGCGUUGACGUGGCUCCGCGGAGCUGGCGGGUAGGUGGCAUCGAGCCGGGCGGGCGACCCCCGGCCCAGAGUAAUGGCGGUCACGCCCGGAUGUCCGUAAGGGCGUUCGGGUGCACAGAAUCCGGCGUACAGGCGGGCUUCACUU
rnacentral:RNase_P_RNA from 1 species